UCAGCCGACUGAACCCAACUUGCAGUCUUCUGCCUGUCACUCCAACUUGCCAGGAGGUGAGUUCCAGCCAACAUAUCCAUCCCCUGCUGUCUGAGACACAAGAGAACAGUGCUUCUAUUGACUGCACUCCACAGACCCAUCUUGGUGACCUGUGAAGUUUUCACCUGGCUGAUGGCUUCAAAGGACAUAAAAACAUGUAGCUCUUCCUCACUCAUUCCCUCCUCACAAAGAAAGCUUAUGAGCAAGGAAGGAUAAACACCUGUCAUUCAAAACCUCUUUCCCCAGUAACCUCUGGCCAUCUGGCCCCUGUCUCUUAUUCCAAAGCCAGCAGCACCCUGGAAUCCCCAUGGGUUGAGGCUUUGCCAUGGUGGUGGCAGCAGCAUCACCUUUGGAAGUUUGUUCAACACAAAGACAUGGCAAAGCUACAGAGCCGAGGGAAAACUCCUCUCAGCAGGAGCAGAUCUGGAUCCUUAAAUCAUAAAAUCAUAAAGAUUGGAAAAGACCACUAAGGUCAUCCAGUCCAACCAUCAGCUCAUCCCACCAUGCCCACUAACCAUGGCCCUCAGUGCCAUAUCUGCCCUUUUAUCUGUACUAGUGUUUUUACCCAAUGCUAUAUACAUCAAGCUUCACACAUCCCCUUUAGAUCAUAUUCACAUCUGUUCUGCUUCAUACACUCUAGGUUAAGUGACUGAAAUUUUAAGACUAGAGAGGCAGAGACAGAUCCGGUGGACAACACACAAACCUGACUUCAUCAGGAGAAGUUUAGAGAAGAUUACUUGUAGAGCCUGUGGUAUGCAAAUGGAAAAAAAGGAACAUGAGAAUCACUGAACCUGAUCUAAUCUAAAGUCCUGUUAGCUCAGUAUCCAAUCUCCAAGGCCAAAUAAGUGACUUCAGAAGCUGAUAAGCACAUAUCUUCAGCCAUGAGGUUUCUAUUUCUCUUCCAGAAGUACUGAUAACUUAAAAAUCUUUAAAUUGGGUCUUUUUCCAGCCCUUCUUCCCUAAAGUUUUUCAAGCCUUGUAUCUCCUGGUAAAAAAAAUAGGCACUCAAGACCAAAUAAUUUAAGAUGUGUGAACAUAGUUUGUAAGUCAAUAUCUCAAUAUAUUGUACUUCAUGGUCUUAAGUUAAAAGAAAAGAUUUUGUUAGAGGAAUAGGUAAAAUGCUGAUAAUGGAUCUUGGUAGAGCAAAUUCCAUGGGGAAUUGUAAUGGUGCAUUUGCUGGGAUGUGGCCAUUACUGUGUGCAUCCUCAAGCAGUCACAAAGAUUAUGCCUUAGGUCCCAUCCUACAGAUCAAAAGUAGCAUAAAUGUCUCUCCUUCAUGCACAAGCAGAUUCACAGAAGGAAAGUCCACCUGAACCUUGCACACAAACUUUCUUCUACUAAGAAUGGUGACAGACCUGCUCCUGGAGAGCAUGAAUCUGUGGAGCACAAAAGACUGGAGGAAGGUUCCUUGAGUUCUACCCAGGAGGUCUGCCAAAGGUUCAGUACCACCUAAAGGCCAUGUCAACAAGAUUGCUCCUCUGGAAUUUGCCAAGGAAAAUUACUGUUAUGAUUAAAGGAAAGGUUUUGAACGAUUAGAAGUUUUGCUGACUUGGUUUCAUGUGUUUUAACUGAGUGCCAGAUUCUCCAGCAAGACUUUUUUGAUGUCUAGGGUGGUCCAAAAGGAAUUUCAAGAGAAGUGAUUUACACUUUGUAUAUGAGAGCAGGAGGUGAGGAAAGCCUCACUGAGCACAAUGAAAGAGCUCGGGAUUUCUAUGGAAUAAAAUAAUAACUGGGCUGAACUGCCAGACCCCUUAAUGACCACAUUCUCUUUCCAGAGAUGGUAAAAUGAUGGACCAGCAGUUUUUAAAUGAGCCUUACAUUUCCAGGAAUCUCUUUGCUUUUUUUUUUUAAAUAAAGGAAACAUGGGAUUAGAAACAAUAGUGUUAAGAUACCGAGAUAAAGGUUAUCCUUAAGUAUAUUUAGCCUGAUUGGAAAUAGCAAAUAUCACAAACCCCUCAAGAUUUCCAGCUCCAUUUGCCCAUUUUAGGAAAUACAAAUAAAUCCCCCAGUAUUUACUUGCUUAUCUGCCACAUCAAAGGAAAAGUGCUCACACAACAAUGUCCAGUGUAGUUCACUCUUGUGCUGGCUGAUGGCUUCACAUCCUACGCCUUCUCCCUGCCACCCAUGGAGGAAAAGAGAAGAAAUCCCACAAAGGAGGUGUUCCUGGCUCCUCAAAAGCUUUGGAGUUGUGAAAUGGUCCAGAAGCACCAGGGAACCCAUUCCUCUAUAGAUUCACUUUCCAAUAGAUGGCCAAUUAGAAACACUCACAGUUUUAGGACGGCCAGGACAGGGCACAGCUCACGUGCAAAUAAUGUGAAAGAAUCUGCUUUCUGAGCACUGACAUGUUAUAUGGCAUCUGUAUUUUGGAUCAAAUCCAUGUGCCAUGGUGACUUGUUUCAAGAUGGACAGUAUAUAUUUGCAUACAUUGUAGAAAAGAAGGUCUUUCUAGGUGCUUCUUAUCUCAAUACACACAAAUGGAGCAGAGUUUAGAAGUGUAUUUGUGAUACUGAUGAUAUUUUGAGCCAUUUGUUACUGGGGAAUAAACUAUGUUGAGGCAGUUCCUUUUAAUAAGACAUCUCCACAAUCUGUGCCCUUUCUGCCCCUUUAUUUCCAGCACUUCCCUUGAUUUUCAGCUUCCAAUUUGUUAUGUGGCAUUGCAGAGAGACUGUCCUAAGGUGUGGGUGCUGCACUGCUCAAAACAUCCACUUUCACACACCACAUAGAAUUAUAGAACUGUUUGAGUCAGAAGGAAAUCUUAGAGAUCAUUUAGUCCAACUCCCCUGCAAUGAAUAGGGACAUCUACAGUUAGAUCAAGGCUCUCAGAGCCCUGUCCAACCUGACCCUGAAUGUUUCCAGGGAUGGGACCUCCACCACCUCUUUGGGCAACCUGUGCCAGAGCCUCACUGUUUGAUGGAAGCAGUAAAACAUUGGAGACCCAAAUCCAUCUCUGGUCUAACUCUGUUUGGCACUACUGAGUUCUUUCAGCAAUAUCCUUUUUAGACACUGCUUCAUUUGUCAUUUGUUAACCUGAUGCUAAAGCAGCUUUUUCGCUGCUGAGGAAAUAAACAUCUUGGCCAGUUUGAGCUUUUCCUGUGUAAGUUGCUACCUCAGGAAGAGAAGUCUGAGAUAGCAAAAUGUUUCAUUCCUCAGUAGCUGAAUAAGGAAGUUGGGGUUUAAUGGAGAAAUUCUGCAAAGCUGUGAGCUAAGGACAGACAGACAUACUGAACUGCAGCUGCCAGCAGAAGAGCAGUGCGUAUAAACAUGGAGUCACCGAAUCAUAGAAUGGCUUGGGUUGGAAGGGACCUCAAAGGUUAACAUGGUUAAGAAUACACAUGGCCUGAUCCUGCAUUUAAGGAAGACAGUAAAAGAAAUCAUUCUGAAAUGCUUAAUAAUAUGCAUGGUGCAGUCAUGUGCUUUCUUGCCACCAGCAGCAGACACGGCCUGGUGCCCAGGCCUUAUUGGGCAGUUCACCACCCAAUGCUGGUAUUUCUGUCUUGUCAAUCAUUAAAUGUAAUGAUAAAGUUAAUUUAAGCAUCCUUGUUCUCCAAACCAGAUGCAGAGGAGUGAUAUAUCCCGUUGAUGUCCAUCACAUUUUAAACCACUCCAGCUAUAUGCACACUGAGCUACCUGCAAACAUUCCGAGUCUGGCACCAAAACAUGAUUUCUGCUUUGCUUGGGUGGCAGCCAGCUCACUUGUGGUACAGCACAUAACCACACUGUGGCAGAAAGAAGAGAGCAACCAUCCUGUGGAUUUUCUUUAGCAAGAAGCCAGAACACUGUUUUCCCUUCAUUUCCACUGGUUUCCUACUGCAGCUUUGCUUUCAGGCUCUGCGGAGGUGGGAUGGGUGGUUUGAGGCUGCUCUGUGGAGUUUAUCCUUCCCCAGCACUGUGGUAUUGAUGGCUGGUGCCAAGAGAAAUGCCCAACGAUGGGCUUGGUAAAGAGGGUGCAGUAGCAAAACGAUACAGAGAAGAGAAACUUGCUGUUUGCACAACACAGCCUUAUCUUAGAGCUGUUAGUAUGGAUCUCUGUGCCACUCAUCUUUAAGCAGAGAUCUGCCAACUGGAGGGCAGUGGGACAGCCAGCCCCAACACUGCAAGUGAUCAGAGGGCAAAAGGUAAUGGAUUGAAGUUACACCAAGCGAGGUUCAAGUUGGGUGUUAGGAAAAAUUUCUUCUCAGAAAGAGUGGUGAGGCAUUGGUACAGGCUGCCCAGGGAGGGGGGUGGAGUCAUCGUCCCUGGAGGUGUGCAAGAAACAGCAGACGAGGCACUGAGGGACGUGGUUAGAGAGCAUGGUGGGGAAUGGCUGGUGGUUGUACUGGAUGACGUCAGUGAUUGCUUUCAUGUGUUGUUUUAUUAUUAUACUUUUUACUGUCAAAGGUAUUAAGGCAAAGAAGGCAUCUUUGCAAGCAAAACUUAGCGAAACUCAUACUCUUAUUUUUAAAGCAUAUUCUCACGUCAGACCGUGUAUUUGCCUGAACUGUACAUGUGAAGCCCUAAGUGCACCACUCCUGUGCUGUGAAGCUCUCAGCACGUUACAGAUGGACAUAACAUGAGAGGUGGUUGAGUCACCACCACUGGAGGUGUUCAAGAAACGUAUAGGUGUGGUACUAAGGAAGAUGGCUUAGUUGGCAGUAUUGGCAGUAGGUCAAUGGUUGGACUGGAUGAUCUCAGAGACCUUUUCCAGCCUUGGUGAUUCUACUGUUCCAUGAUUCUAAAGUUGGAAAGACCAACAAAAUCAUCUAGACCAAACAUGAGAGAGUUCCUGAGGCAUCAGGCUUUCCUACAAAUUCAUCUUUGUAUCUUGCUGCUCAUUAACUGGGUUUAGCGUAGAUGUUUAUGACAAAUAACCCUUCUGUUGUGUAUUUUGUUUUAAGACUAGUUUCUUCACAGACAUUCAUUUCAUUUGGCGUCGUCCUGUUUUUAGCCAGGAAAAUACAGAUUUCAUUUUACAAAAUUGACAUGCAUUCCUGUCUGCAACAUUAAAAAAAUUGCAUAUGUUUUCUGAUCUUUUCAGAUUUGAGAUGGAAAAUAUUUGCUGCUCUUUUUCCCAGAAAAUCAACUAAAUAUUGCUUACAUUCUCUCUUCAGUAGAAUCGAGAUAAAUCGAGAUAAAUCGAGGCAAAUCUCCAGCUCAGUAUUGAUCUCCAUCUACUCAGAGCAUCUCUGCUCAUUAGUGUUUCUGUUGGAUUGCAAAUGCAAGAGCCAGGAGCUUUGCUUUCAUUUGUCUGCCACAAAAAAUAAAAGCUACCUCACAGCUGAUUCUAACUGACGAAGGGUGAAAAAUACAUCGGUGAAACAUUUUAUUUCACUGCUGCUGCCUUACAAUGCUGCCUCCAGGACAUGGCACAGACGUGGCACACAAAGCCCUUCUUGUCCAAGCAGGGCAGAUUCAGCUCUGACAUGAGCAAGGAAGACAGAAAUACCUUUUUUCUUCCACUCGUUUUCCAUCAGCACAAUGCCAACCUUUGCAGCUCCAUCCUGCUGUGCUGCACUACCCCUGGGUCCAACCCCACAGGCAGAGCUCCUCUGCCAUCAGUGUGUGCUCAGCACUUGUAAAGGUUGUCCAUGAUUCUAUGUGUCUGUGGAAGAAACGUGGAUGUUCUCAUGUGCAUUUAUCCAGGAUCACGUUUUUGUAGGAUCUCACCCCUCUUGCUGUGGGCAGAUGGAUCCAUGUCCCAGGGGAGGGCUUUUAAUUGAAAUUCAUUCCACCCAACAAGCUGUUCCAUCCAGUAUAACUAACAGAACCCAAACUGUUUUAACAAAUUGCCCCAGAUUUAAAUGCUCUCUGGCCUAUAUUAUUCACAGGGCCAAAUUAAUCAGUCUUCUGCUUUCUGAGUUUACAAAGCAGAUGCAGCAGCGAGACUCAGUGAGUGAUGCUGAUGUUUAUGAUGGAGGAUCUCUUAUCAGGGCUGAGGUCUUCUCUUCUUAGGGAAUACUUUUUGACGGGUCCUCACAGUGAAUCUCUGAGAGCAGGAGGUCUGCAAGACUGCCAGAAACAAGUCUGCACAGCCAUGAGUAGGAUAAGGAGCAGUUUCCACCAAAACAAGCUCAGAAUGGCAGGGAACAGACAUCACUGAUACCUUUUUAACAGAUGCUUUGGGAGCUGUCAAUGAUUUU